AUUGAACGCUGGCGGCAGGCUUAACACAUGCAAGUCGAGCGGAGCGAGGGUGCUUGCACCUUAGCUUAGCGGCGGACGGGUGAGUGAUGCUUAGGAAUCUGCCUAUUAGUGGGGGACAACAUUCCGAAAGGAAUGCUAAUACCGCAUACGCCCUACGGGGGAAAGCAGGGGAUCUUCGGACCUUGCGCUAAUAGAUGAGCCUAAGUCGGAUUAGCUAGUUGGUGGGGUAAAGGCCUACCAAGGCGACGAUCUGUAGCGGGUCUGAGAGGAUGAUCCGCCACACUGGGACUGAAACACGGCCCAGACUCCUACGGGAGGCAGCAGUGGGGAAUAUUGGACAGUGGGCGGAAGCCUGAUCCAGCCAUGCCGCGUGUGUGAAGAAGGCCUUUUGGUUGUAAAGCACUUUAAGCGAGGAGGAGGCUACUUAGAUUAAUACUCUGGGAUAGUGGACGUUACUCGCAGAAUAAGCACCGGCUAACUCUGUGCCAGCCGCCGCCGUAA
rnacentral:rRNA from 1 species